UACGAGGACAGUCGGUUUAUUUCAUAUAAGUAUUUCGUACUUGUUACACAUAUAACCAUAAUUGUUUACAGUUAAAAAAUAC